rnacentral:lncRNA from 1 species
AUGGCAGUGGUGGAGCUCAUCGGGGGACUGAAAUUGCUGCCUCUCUUCCAGCAGUAGAAUAAGGAACUGUUUUUGUUGACUGUGAGUUUAUGAGUGGUCUGUUGAUGAACUGCUUUUGUCGUAGGGCUGUAACCUCAGAAGGGAGCAAACCAGAUGACUGACAGCAGGUUACUUUUUUGAUGAUGGUGAGAAAUUGUGCACAAUUGUCCGAGGAUGUUUGAUCUCCUUCCCUUUACUCCCAGCAAACAAACUAUAAACCUUCUCUGGCUAUUGAGCAGAGGAAACAUAUGGAGACAGAAUUAUCCCAGUGGAGUUUUCUUUGCUAGCAGAAGUGAGAGGAAGAAGCCGCAAGACGAGUGGUGAAUAAAAUCAGCCAUAGGGUCAUCUAGAACAAGAGACCCAUCGGACGGCUCGUACAGCUAUUUUUACUUUCUAAUAAAGAGAGGAUGUCACAUGAAUUGCCAGGAAAGCAAAUAUAUUCUUGAUGCUUUAACCUUGUUUAAGUUACUUAAUUUGCAUUCAAAAU